rnacentral:rRNA from 1 species
UACGUAGGUGGCAAGCGUUGUCCGGAAUUAUUGGGCGUAAAGCGCGCGCAGGCGGUCCUUUAAGUCUGAUGUGAAAGCCCACGGCUCAACCGUGGAGGGUCAUUGGAAACUGGGGGACUUGAGUACAGAAGAGAAGAGUGGAAUUCCACGUGUAGCGGUGAAAUGCGUAGAGAUGUGGAGGAACACCAGUGGCGAAGGCGACUCUUUGGUCUGUAACUGACGCUGAGGAGCGAAAGCGUGGGGAGCAAACAGG